rnacentral:rRNA from 1 species
AGCGAACGCUGGCGGCAGGCCUAACACAUGCAAGUCGAACGAACCUUUCGGGGUUAGUGGCGGACGGGUGAGUAACACGUGGGAACGUGCCUUUAGGUUCGGAAUAACUCAGGGAAACUUGUGCUAAUACCGAAUGUGCCCUUCGGGGGAAAGAUUACUCGCCUUUAGAGCGGCCCGCGUCUGUUUAGCUAGUUGGUUGAGGUAAUGGCUCACCAAGGCGACGAUCAGUAGCUGGUCUGAGAGGAGGAUCAGCCACAUUGGGACUGAGACACGGCCCAAACUCCUACGGGAGGCAGCAGUGGGGAAUCUUGCGCAAUGGGCGAAAGCCUGACGCAGCCAUGCCGCGUGAAUGAUGAAGGUCUUAGGAUUGUAAAAUUCUUUCACCGGGGACGAUAAUGACGGUACCCGGAGAAGAAGCCCCGGCUAACUUCGUG